GAUGAACGCUGGCGGCGUGCCUAAUACAUGCAAGUCGAGCGAACAGACGAGGAGCUUGCUCCUCUGACGUUAGCGGCGGACGGGUGAGUAACACGUGGAUAACCUACCUAUAAGACUGGGAUAACUUCGGGAAACCGGAGCUAAUACCGGAUAAUAUAUUGAACCGCAUGGUUCAAUAGUGAAAGACGGUUUUGCUGUCACUUAUAGAUGGAUCCGCGCCGCAUUAGCUAGUUGGUAAGGUAACGGCUUACCAAGGCAACGAUGCGUAGCCGACCUGAGAGGGUGAUCGGCCACACUUGAACUGAGACACGGUCCAGACUCCUACGGGAGGCAGCAGUAGGGAAUCUUCCGCAAAGGGCGAAAGCCUGGCGGAGCAACGCCGCGUGAGUGAUGAAGGUCUUCGGAUCGUAAAACUCUGUUAUUAGGGAAGAACAAAUGUGUAAGUAACUAUGCACGUCUUGACGGUACCUAAUCAGAAAGCCACGGCUAACUACGUG
rnacentral:rRNA from 1 species